rnacentral:rRNA from 1 species
UACGAAGGGGGCUAGCGUUGUUCGGAAUCACUGGGCGUAAAGCGCACGUAGGCGGCUUUCUAAGUCGGAGGUGAAAUCCUGGAGCUCAACUCCAGAACUGCCUUCGAUACUGGAGCUUGAGUCCGGGAGAGGUGAGUGGAACUGCGAGUGUAGAGGUGAAAUUCGUAGAUAUUCGCAAGAACACCAGUGGCGAAGGCGGCUCACUGGCCCGGUACUGACGCUGAGGUGCGAAAGCGUGGGGAGCAAACAGG